rnacentral:pre_miRNA from 1 species
GUAUCUGAUAUCGAAUCUCUUAUAUCGCCUUUUGAGGUUAUUUUCUUAAUACCCUCAAAAGACGGUAUUAGAGAUUACACAGCUGGACA